CUUUUGGGGGCUAUACAGGCAGCAUGAAGUUUGUGGGAUUCCAACCCAAAAGCUGGGCAUUGCCCUGUGUUGUCAUGGGGUGUUGUUUCUACCAACUUAUGGGGAGAAUGAGUAGCCUGAUGCUAUAUGGAUCAUGGGACCAACAUCCUCGCUUCAUGCAGCUUCCAAGCAUGUAGCACUCAGAGAAAAGGCUAUGUCUGCACGCUUCAAUCUCUGCUGGCCAAGAAUGCCUUGCAUCAUUACUGAAAGAGGCUGCGUAUGAGGAUUUAUGGGACUAGAAACUGUACAUAAGAGUUACAGCAAAAGAAGACUGUUCAUGGUGCAACCCAAGUGGUUUAUCCUCCCUCCACCCGCUGUUGUGAGCUCUAGUGUAGUGUACAGAGCAGCAGUCUGGCGCAAGCUGGCUGUAUCUUGGAGAUGCAUCAGAUUCUCACAAGGUCCUGUUCCACUAAGGGAAGAACUGGAACUUUAUGGCAAAAUCCACAAAAUCCUAUGAAGGACGUUGGACCCCUCCAGCUGUGAUGUACAGUGAUUCAGCACACAAGCCCAGGAACCUCUUUUGGCUGUUGGAUAAAGCAUACUGCUCUUGGCAUGAGCCUUUACAGAGGGGUUGUGCAAAACUCACUUGUUUCCACAUGAUGGAGGCCCCUGCAUAUGCAGUGCACUGCUAUUUGACGCUCUGUAUGUCUUAGUAUGUAUGUGACUGGCUAUAAGACGCUUACCCUGCACAAAACUGAGUGCUGGCAUAUCCCCUUGUCUUCACAGAAGCUUUAUUAAUUUGAAAUGGACUUUGGGGAGGUUCUUGUGGCACAACUCAGUGCAGGAGGCAGGGCCCAACUAGGGCUGCAGUUGUUUGACCGGUGACAAUGCAGAGGAUUUAUUUUCUAUGUUCAUUUCUUUGCCUAAGUAUGGUAUUUGAAUUAAGACAGAAAAAAAAAUACAUUUUCUACUCACCAGGUAGAAAGAUUUCCCUCCAGCAAUUUUUUAUUAUUAUUAUUAUUAUUUUGUAAUUAGUUGUCAUGCCAGUAUCAUAGUGGCCAAUGCAGAUCUUUUAAUGGUGCUAUUGUUAAGAUGAAGAUUUUUUCAGCCAUGGGUUUAGGAAUUCUUUUAUUUGUGCUGAAAGGUGAAAACACCAUUUUUUGGUUGUUUGUUUUUACCCUUAUUAAGAAAAAUAGAUGGGAAAAGACGGCAACAGGACAGAAGAGGACAUUUUCAGUGUACAAACAAACUCAGACUACUUGGUCACUGAUGUCUCAAAUGCUUCAACUCAUUGUGGGUGGGAAGAGAAAGCAAAGCUUUGGGUGUCAGCUGCAGCCAUCUGUCUCCAAGGAGCAGCUGGUGAUGAGAUGCUGAUAUUAAUGAAAUGGGAUUGCUCAGUGCUGUCGAUUUACUGCGGUUAGCAUAGCUAAUUCUGAAUCAUGCUACCCUUACGGCUACUGUGCCUUGAAGGCAGCAGGCUGUGUUGAUGGUAAUGAUAAGACUUAGGACACCAGUGGUUCAAAGAAGGUGUGAAAAGCAGUACACUCGGGGUGUUUAUGUAGACUGUAUUGUGCUUCAAUUGCCAGGUGACAGAUCCCAGAGCUCUGAGUUUCCUGGAUCAGUGAUUCUUAGUCAUCUGCUGGUGGUUGGUGGGUAGGAAAUGACAUUGGCUGUGUUAUUCAGACUUGGGGGGGGGAAGGGCGGGUUAUAGGGUUAAUAACAUUGCUAGUGGAAUGGAGAAUAUGAAUAAGUCUGUGUGAAAUCACUCUGAAAACAGUUGUGUUAAACCUGUUGCUGCACCAAAGGGCUGGGUCUGAGCUGGCAUUUCCAGGACAUAGGCUCACCAGGCCAUGUGUGCACAAAAAGCUUUUUGCUAACGUUUGGUGACUUAAGUUUGCAUGUAUCUGAACUCAUCUGGUAAAUGACACUGAUAGUAGGAUAACAUUGAGGAUAGCCUGCAGAGUAAGAGGUGUGUCUUAGCAGCAACCCAGGUCCUUCGGCCCAAUCAGUUCUAAAUAUGGCAUAGGAAAAAUAUCUGACAUGCUGCAUUCAGCUUUGGCACUUCUGUAUUUCCUUCUGUACUUUCUAUAAAACCACUUUGUUGAUGUUUUUAAUGACAUUUUUAUGCCUUCUUCUAACACAAGCUCAUACUUAGUCAAAGUAAUUCUGAUACUGGGUUGGAGUCAGUAUUUCCCAGAAAACAGCCCACUCUGCGUACUGCAUGUAAUGGUUUCCAGGAGGGAUUAUCUAAACUUGUGGUUGUGAGACCCGUCUAACAUAAGGUCAUGGGUGUUUGAGUCCCAUCUGUGAAGCAGGCAAACCUCUCGUGAGGUCUGGCUCAGCAACUAUUCGAAGGUACUGCCUUAGUAUCGGUACCAGCCAGCAGAAAGGCUGGGAUUAGGUGGCCAUCUCCCAGAGGUUUGUGCCUCCAGGCCGAGUGGGAGAAUUGCCCGAUUUCUGGCUGAGCCAUUUGGGCAUUUAGCCAUCAGGUCACUUAGCACAGUUUCCCACUGGACAGGUAUUUGGAGGGGGGCCUUCGCCUAAGGCCUCAGGAAUAUAUUAAAUGGUGACAAGGGACCAGCUGCCUCAGGCAGUGCCAUGCCCAGAGAACUUGAGGAUUGGUUUCAGGACAGCCUGCCAGAGCUUUGUAAGAGGUUGCUAAUUACUAUCAAUUGCAGUGAUUUUUCCAGAGGAAGUGGAUUGCGAUUGCAAAUUCACAAGUGCAAUUUCAUGUAGACCACAAAGGAAUCAUCUGAAUAAACAGCCUUUAAUUCACCACCACCCCGUGCUGGAUUCGGCCUGCUGACUAGCUCCACACCCUGUUGGCAUGCCCGUAGCUAUCCCCACACCCCGAGCUUUUCACAGUCAAAGAACAGAGGGGAGGAAGAUCUAGCGGGGCAGUUUAUGCUGUGAAACACCGGCAGAAGGGCUGAUUUUAGUGCACAUGGAGAAUUGUGGCCCUUAACCUGCAGCAGUGCUGGGGCAUCCCUGUGGUUUGUGCUGGAGGCCACGCUUAACACCGAGACAGACAAAAAUUCAGACAGCACACAGGGGCAGUUGGAGGCCAAGCAAACUUUUAUGCAAAUAGCCUGAUCUUUUUGGUCUUGCAGUGGUUGUGGAGAGGCUCUGCCACUGGCUGGCAGUGUCUUGGAAGGGGACAAGUUGUGCGAUCAUCACAUAGUUUGCCCCUAUACAAAAGUAUCCUAUCUCUGCAUUAUAUGCCUUUCUUACAUCCCUGGCAAGUAGUUUUAAGCUGUGCCCCAUGCACAGGCUGCAGGCCAGCAGGUCAUGGUAUGGAAUUGGAACCAAACCUGUGAAGUUUUACAGCUAAGGAUUCAAAGGUACGUGAUUAGUAGAUGCCAGCAAGGCACUCAGAAAACUUCCACAUUGAGCCAGUUCAGCUUCAGAAAGUAUAACAUCACUUUUUCAACAGUGUUUCCUUGUCCUUACAGCCUGUCUGAAGAGCACCGUGGUGUCUUAAAUAGCCCUAGCACUAUUAAGCCAGGGCUCCUGAGAACUACUGUCAUUUUACUCACAGGUGUCCAGCCUGCUUUUCAUUUCCUGGGUCUGUUUUGUUUGGAGUGACUCUUGCCAAGGGAUGAUCAGAUGUCUUACUGAGAUUUCCAUUUAUGUUAUGUAAAAACAUCAUUUUUUUAAGGUUUCCAUGCUCACUUAAGCAUUUUAUAUUCAGGAACUAUGUACCUUUUCUCUGUAACUUAGUAUUUUUCUUAAUACAGCAUCCUUAUGCAAGAGCCAGUUCAGGAGCUGUGUCCGUGUCUGCUGAAAUCAAUGAAAUGCUGCUGAGAGCAAAAUCAGGCCAAAUCAUAAAAAACAAAGGACUAAAGUGUCAAGGCAGGAGACUUGUCUCCUGCUGUGACACUGGAAAUGUGUAAGUUCCAAAAAACACAGCUUCAGAGGGGUAGAAAGAUUAACUGGGGGAAAUAGAGGAAAAGCAGUGCCCCAUAUGCAUUUAAUAUAGGACACACAGAUUUGCUGCAUUUAGCAGGAUGAGGCAGUCUAAAUGUAUAGUGUGCUGUAUUUUUUCAAAGAUAUCACAGGUAUUUGGCAGUCUGAGGCAAAAUCAAUACAAAACUUUUUUUUAAGAGUCUUUUACCCCCUUUUCUCUAACCCUGGGCUUCUCAUGCUGUUUGUCUCUGCAUCCCGUUACCAAUUCUUAUGCUAUCCGUUUCUGCAGUUUGGUAUCAAAGAUCUUGUCCCCACUUUUUUCAUUCCUUAAUGUGCAUAAUAGACAUUUACAAGAACUAUAAGCAUUCAGCUUUUACUCAAUUAGCUUUUAGCUAAUGCCUUUUUAUAUAAAAGUCUAUUUCCUCAACCACUGGCUCAUUUUAAGAAAGAAAUCAACAGCACUGAAUGUCAGUUAUCUCCAUUUUUCAGGGGUCAGCUUUGCUCACACUGAGUACCUUAGUUUAUAAGGUGCACCGCUAAAUUUAAUCUUCAAAUCUUCAAUAACCAUUCUUCCCAGAAUGUCUCUAAAGUGUGGGGUCUUUAUGAAUAAUUACUGAGUUCCAUUAAAGUAUGCAGAAUAAAAUUUGACACAAAUCAGUUCUUCAAAUACAUCCAACUGCACAGAAAUAAUUAAUAUAUAUAUAUAUAUAUAUAUAUACACAUACCAUUCAUGUAAAGACUGCUGCAUAGUGGA